ACGUAUUCAUUCAACUUUUGUCCAACGGAGCAUUGUUGCGAGUUUUCUGCGACCGUUGGAAGUGUUUGUGGAUUUCGGACAACUUUCGAAUAAUUAUUAGUGUUUAUUGCAAAGAAAACUAUUUAAAGUAGUUUUUUAACUAUCUACAAUGGUUCACCAGUGCAUAGUUUGUUAAAGGUGGACUAUUCUAACUCCUGAUUGAUAUUUGGACGCGUUCCUAUAAUUACUGAGCUUAGACAAUGAUCGAUUUCACUCUUGAAUUUGAAAAAUCAAACUAAUGUGUGUCCAAAUUUGUUCUGAUGAUUUUGAUAAGAGCAAUAUUAUGAUCCCGAAUUAACUGAUCGAAGGCAAAUAAGACCAAAUUCUGAGCCUCAAAUAGAUAGUACCAUUUUUGCUGGGGCUUUAUCAUACAGGUUUUCUUCUAGUUUGUACCGCCACCCAAAAAAUGUUUUAGGUAAAUGAACCUCCAGACCAGCUGAGGGACUAGAGAAGGUCCCUACCUAGUCCCGCGAUUGGCAGUUUGGCUGGCCCCUCAAAUUUGAUUUUGCCUAAAAUCAUACAAGAUAAACUAGCCCUUCUCAAGAAGCCCUUCCCUCAAAACAACAGAAACGGCAUUGGAAAAAGAAGUUGGAAUUAACCAGUAUGUGCUCUUUCAUAGUAAGACAAUCCUCAUCUUCUGAUCUCCCAAUAGUUGGAUAUUUAUUAUCUCAAGAAAGUCGUCAAAGUAUCAGAAAAAGAAAGAAGUAUGUUAAUGAGGCAUUAUAAUGAUAUUAUGUAGAAAUUUAAGUCUUUGGAAAUUUGGAAACAAAAUUUGGAAACAAAGAAAAUGAAAAAUACAUACUUUACAAAUAGGUCUUAGAAGAUUGAAAAAUAAAAUAAUAUAUAUGCAUCAGUUAAUUGAUUACUUAAAAGAAAAAUCUUUGAUAAGUGAAUCAACUGAAUUGACGAUUCAGGUUUCCUUAGCUGAACCAGUACAAAGUAUUUUUGAAAGAAUGUUAAAAGGACCUGCCACACAAAAAUCCAAUCUUCUGCUACUAUCCUUUGCUUUAACAUUGUCAUUUUAUUUGCCGAAAACAGAAUUUUAUAAGGGAUACAUAAACUGGCCCAGAGUUUUCUUAGGAGGCCUCUAAAUUCCAUUUAGUUUUCAACAAUAUUGUUGAUAUUUUUAACUCUCAGAAUAGAUUUACAAAAUAUUCAUAUAAAAAAAUUAUCAAAAAUAUAAGAACAACAUACUUUUUAAUAAUUUUGAAAUAAUUAAAUUGUAUAUUAUUGGACUUACUUUAAAAGAAAGGUCAACCAUAGUCACGAAGAAAAACGGGAUUUUUGGGCUUUCUAAUUUGUAUGGAAAGCUUACAACGUCCACGUAUACAAAAAGCAAAAACGGAAGAUAAUAAUAUAUUCAAUCAAUGUAAAAAUGAGAAGAGCAUUGUGGGAUUAAAAAACAUGAUGGUGAUAGAUUGUCUAAAACUAAUAGGAGUACUGGUAUUUCUCAAAACAAAACUGAUGGUUA
rnacentral:lncRNA from 1 species